rnacentral:rRNA from 1 species
AGUGAACGCUGGCGGUAGGCCUAACACAUGCAAGUCGAACGGCAGCACAGUAAGAGCUUGCUCUUACGGGUGGCGAGUGGCGGACGGGUGAGGAAUACAUCGGAAUCUACUUUUUCGUGGGGGAUAACGUAGGGAAACUUACGCUAAUACCGCAUACGACCUACGGGUGAAAGCAGGGGAUCUUCGGACCUUGCGCGAUUGAAUGAGCCGAUGUCGGAUUAGCUAGUUGGCGGGGUAAAGGCCCACCAAGGCGACGAUCCGUAGCUGGUCUGAGAGGAUGAUCAGCCACACUGGAACUGAGACACGGUCCAGACUCCUACGGGAGGCAGCAGUGGGGAAUAUUGGACAAUGGGCGCAAGCCUGAUCCAGCCAUACCGCGUGGGUGAAGAAGGCCUUCGGGUUGUAAAGCCCUUUUGUUGGGAAAGAAAAGCAGCAGGUUAAUACCCCGCUGUUCUGACGGGACCCAAAGAAUAAACACCGGCUAACUUCGU